rnacentral:misc_RNA from 1 species
GUGAAUCAUCGAAUUUUUGAACGCAAAUUGCACUCUCUGGUAUUCCGGAGAGUAUGCCUGUUUGAGGGUCAGUUUAAAUAAAAAUCGGAGUGUUUGCGGCCUUUCGUGGUGACGCACCGAAUUUGGAUCGGCUUGCCUUCGGUUAAUUGACCUAAAAUUUUGCAUGAUUUUUUUCAAACUCAUUUAAAUGAUUUUGCGUACGUUUGCGAUAUGGAAUACUCGGUUUGGUCAUCCGCAUGAUUUGGCCCUAUAAUUUUUCAUCAUUAUGAUCUC